AUGCACGCUGGCGGCGUGCCUAAUACAUGCCAGUCGAGCGAACAGAUGAGGAGCUUGCUCCUCUGACGUUAGCGGCGGACGGGUGAGUAACACGUGGAUAACCUACCUAUAAGACUGGGAUAACUUCGGGAAACCGAAGCUAAUACCGGAUAAUAUAUUGAACCGCAUGGUUCAAUAGUGAAAGACGGUUUUGCUGUCACUUAUAGAUGGAUCCGCGCCGCAUUAGCUAGUUGGUAAGGUAACGGCUUACCAAGGCAACGAUGCGUAGCCGACCUGAGAGGGUGAUCGGCCACACUGGAACUGAGACACGGUCCAGACUCCUACGGGAGGCAGCAGUAGGGAAUCUUCCGCAAUGGGCGAAAGCCUGACGGAGCAACGCCGCGUGAGUGAUGAAGGUCUUCGGAUCGUAAAACUCUGUUAUUAGGGAAGAACAAAUAUGUAAGUAACUAUGCACGUCUUGACGGUACCUAAUCAGAAAGCCACGGCUAACUACGUG
rnacentral:rRNA from 1 species